AAUUAGAUAUUUUAUUUUUAGCGCCAAGAGGUCAGAUCUGUCGAGCUGUGAAACAGGGGAUACUUUAAUGAAUAAACUGUACUAAUGUGCUAAGUCAAAAAUUCUGAAACUUUUAUGGUAAGUAUGAAUAUGAGUCUAGUUUCACAGAAAAUUUACGGAUUUAAAUUUUGAGUUUCGUAACUCAAGUUAUAAUUAAAUUAGUGACAGUUGCGCAGGUGGACAGUGUUGUUAUGAACAGUGAAUUUAAUUUUAAAAGCAAAUUUUUAUGCUCCGAAUCGGUAAGUUAAAUUGGAUGACAUCUCGUACUCGAUUCCGGAGAUGGUCUCGGGUAAGGGGUGUUACAUUUAGUGGUAUCAGAGCUAUGGUUUAGUCGAUUCUCGGACUAACGUAGCGAGUGUAAUAGACCAUCUAUACAUGCCAUAAUUGAAUAAUGAUAGUGUGACGACUCCUGACAUCUUAAAAUGUUUUUUUAUAGUAAUGGAUUCUAACCGAGAUACAGCUGAUGAUGCUCAAAGUAAUGUGUCUGUUGAAAGUCGAUUCGAGACUCAGGGUCAAGGAGAUGAGGCUCGAGAAGCUUUUCUCCAAAUGAUGAACAAUUGGUACACUGAGUUUGUUAGAACUAAUCCUAAUGCUCAACCUCCUCCGCCCCCUCCUAUUCCUCAAGCUGUUCCCAUAGCUCCUCAACAAACUGAAGUGUUAAAAUUGUCAAAGCCUCCAGUGGACAAAAUUCGAAAGUAUGGAGCCGAAGAGUUCCGAGCUAAUGUAAAUGAUGAUCCUGAAAGAGCAGAGUUCUGGCUUGAUAAUACUAUCAGAGUGUUGGAUGAAUUAUCUUGUACUCCAGAAGAAAGUCUCAAAUGUGCUAUCUCAUUGCUGAGGGAUUCGGCUUAUAAUUGGUGGAAAACUUUAGUGUCAGUGGUGCCUAAAGAGAAAGUUACAUGGGACUUCUUUCAAGAAGAAUUCCGGAAGAAGUAUGUGAGUCAGCGUUUCAUUGAUCAAAAGAGAAAAGAGUUUCUUGAAUUGAAACAAGGGCGCAUGACGGUAGCCGAAUAUGAGCGAGAAUUUGUCAAAUUAAGCAAGUAUGCCCAAGAGUGUGUAUCUAAUGAAGCUACAUUGUGUAAAAGGUUUGAAGAUGGAUUAAACGAGGAUAUCCGAUUGCUAGUGGGAAUUCUUGAAAUUAAAGAGUUAGUGGUACUAGUUGAAAGAGCUAUCAAGGCUGAAGAAUUGAGCAAAGAGAAAAGAAAGGUGGAAAGUGAAGCAAUAGAUGAAAGAAAAAGAUCAAUGGGCAAGCCAUUUCAGUCUCAAGCGAAGAAGUUUAAAGAAAUGAAUACUCGAUCGAAUGUUUCUAGUGUGAAUUUUCAAAGAGAUCGAGGAAGACAAUAUUCAGGUUCUAAAGCUCAGGCAACUUCUAUGGCAAGUACAGGUAGUGUUAAACCUACUAGACCGGAAUGUCAACAUUGUGGAAAAUGACAUUUGGGGGAAUGUUAUUUAAUCAGCCGAGCUUGUUUUAAAUGUGGAUCUCAAGAUCAUUUUGUGAAAGAUUGUCCGGAAAGAGAAGAGAUAGAAAAGUUUCAGAAUGUGAGAUCGAGCAGUGUGACUACUAGAGGAAGACCACAGAGAAAUGUGGGGAUUGGAACUAGUGGUAGAGGCGUAACAAAAGACACGACUGUAAGAUCUGAAGUGGGAGCUCCAGCAAGAGCUUAUGCCAUCCGAGCUAGAGAGGAAGCAUCUUCUCCUGAUGUGAUCACUGGUAUAUUUUCUCUUUACGACACUAAUGUUCUUGCAUUGAUUGAUCCUGGUUCUACUCACUCGUAUGUAUGCAUGAAUUUAGUGUCUGAUAAGAAUUUGUGUGUUGAAUUGACUGAGUAUGUGGUUAAAGUGUCGAAUCCUUUAAGCAAGCAUAUGAUAGUUGAUAAAAUAUGCAAAAAUUGUCCUUUGAUUAUACAAGGUCAGUGUUUCCCUGCCAACUUAAUGUUGUUGCCAUUUGAUGAAUUUGAUGUUAUUUUGGGAAUAGAUUGGUUGACAUUACAUAAGGCCAAGAUAGAUUGCAGUCAGAAAAUUCUUGAGUUGAAGUGUGGUAGUGGUACAGUUCUUCGGGUUGAAACCGAUAAGUCAAAUGUGAUGCCAAUUGUGAUUUCUGCCAUGUCUGCUCAGAAAUGUUUGAAAAAUGGUUGUGAAGCAUAUCUUGCUUAUGUGUUGAACACAAAAGUGUCUGAAAUAAAGAUCGAAUCAGUGCCAGUGGUAUGUGAAUAUGUAGAUGUGUUCCCAGAAGAGUUGCUAGGUUUGCCUCCGAUUAGAGAAGUAGAGUUUGGUAUUGAAGUAAUGCCAGAUACUGCUCCAAUAUCGAUUGCUCCCUACAGAAUGGCACCAACUGAAUUAAAAGAAUUAAAAGUGCAAUUACAAGAGCUGACAGAUAAAGGAUUUGUUAGACCAAGUUACUCUCCGUGGGGUGCUCCUGUGCUAUUUGUGAAGAAAAAGGAUGGGACAUUGAGAUUGUGUAUUGAUUAUCGUCAACUUAACAAAGUGACAGUGAAGAAUAAGUAUCCAUUACCCCGAAUAGAUGACUUGUUUGAUCAGUUAAAGGAUGCCACAGUGUUUUCCAAAAUUGAUUUGAGAUUCGGAUAUUAUCAAUUGAGGGUUAAAGAGUCAGAUGUGCCAAAGACUGCUUUCAGAACCCGAUAUGGCCACUAUGAAUUUCUUGUAAUGCCUUUUGGUCUGACUAAUGCUCCAGCUAUUUUUAUGGAUUUGAUGAAUCGAAUUUUCCGGCCCUAUUUGGAUAAAUUUGUUGUGGUGUUUAUAGAUGAUAUUCUUAUUUAUUCCCGAAGUGAAGCCGAGCAUGCUGAACAUUUAAGAAUUGUGCUACAAACGCUGCGAGAAAAGAAAUUGUUUGCUAAAUUUAGCAAAAGUGAAUUUUGGCUUAGUGAAGUUGGAUUUUUGGGGCAUAUUGUCUCGGGAGAUGGCAUUCGAGUGGAUCCGAAUAAGAUAUCGGCAAUAGUUGAGUGGAAGCCUCCAAGAAAUGUAUCUGAAGUUAGGAGUUUUCUGGGCUUAGCCGGAUAUUAUCGUCGAUUUGUAGAAGGUUUUUUGAUGAUAGCUUCACCGAUGACAAAAUUGUUGCAAAAAGAUGUUAAGUUCGAAUGGACCGAGGAGUGUCAACAAAGUUUUGAGAAAUUAAAGAAGUGUUUAACUGAGGCACCAGUGUUAGUGCAACCUGAGUCAGGAAAGGAAUUUGUUGUUUAUAGUGACGCGUCACUAAAUGGGCUUGGAUGUGUAUUGAUGCAAGAAGGAAAGGUGAUAGCGUAUGCUUCUCGACAAUUGAAACCGCAUGAACGAAAUUAUCCUACCCAUGAUUUAGAGUUGGCUGCUAUUGUCUUUGCUUUGAAGAUUUGGCGUCAUUAUUUAUAUGGUGAGAAAUGUCGUGUUUUUACAGAUCAUAAAAGUUUGAAAUAUGUUAUGACACAAAAAGAUCUGAAUUUGCGGCAAAGAAGAUGGUUGGAAUUGUUGAAAGAUUAUGAACUUGUGAUAGAUUAUCAUCCGGGAAAAGCUAAUAUAGUUGCUGAUGCUUUGAGCAGAAAGUCUCUCUUUGCUUUGAGAGCUUUGAAUACGAGAUUAACAUUGACUGAAGAUGGAUCAUUGUUUGCAGAGUUAAAAGCUAGACCAUUCUUUCUUCAAGAAAUUUGUGAGGCUCAGAAAGUGGAUAAUGAAUUGCAAAGAAGAAAGACUCAGUGUGCAGUGGACAAUAAUUCUGAUUUUCAGAUUGAUUCAGAUGGAUGUUUAAUGUUUUGUGAUAGAAUAUGUGUUCCGAAAAAUGUUGAUUUAAUUCAGAAAAUUUUGCAAGAAGCACAUGAUAGUCAUUUGGCAGUUCACCCCGGUAGUGUAAAAAUGUACAAUGAUUUGAAGAAAUUUUAUUAGUUGUCGGGUAUGAAACGAGAUAUCUCCGAGUAUGUGACAAAGUGUUUAGUGUGCCAACAAGUAAAAGUUGAACACCAAGUACCUUCAGGAUUACUUCAACCUAUUAUGGUGCCCGAGUGGAAAUGGGAUAGAAUUACUAUGGAUUUUGUUUCUGGAUUGCCAUUGUCACCGAAAAAGAAAGACUCAAUUUGGGUUAUAGUUGAUCGAUUGACUAAGUCGGCUCAUUUCAUUCCUGUGCGAAUGAGUUUUUCACUUGACAAGUUAGCUGAAUUGUAUAUUGCUGAGAUAGUCCGAUUACAUGGUGUACCUAUGUCUAUUAUAUCUGAUAGAGAUCCACGAUUUACUUCAAGGUUUUGGAAGAAAUUACAAGAGGCAUUGGGUACUAAAUUGAAUUUUAGUACAGCAUUCCAUCCCCAAACCGAUGGACAGUCUGAAAGAGUAAUUCAAAUACUCGAAGACAUGUUGAGAUGUUGUGUAUUGGAAUUUGAAGGUAAUUGGGAAAGAUAUUUACCUUUGGUGGAAUUUGCUUAUAAUAAUAGUUAUCAGUCAAGCAUAAAAAUGGCACCUUAUGAAGCGUUGUAUGGACGAAAGUGUCGGACUCCAUUAUAUUGGACUGAACUUAAUGAAAAUCAAUUACAUGGAGUCGAUUUGGUAAAAGAAACCGAAGACAAAGUGAAGAUAAUCCGUGAUUGUUUGAAAGCUGCAUCGGAUCGACAGAAGUCGUAUGCGGACUUGAAAAGAAAAGAGAUUGAGUUUCAAGUGGGAGAUAAAGUAUUUUUGAAAGUAUCUCCAUGGAAGAAAAUUUUGAGAUUUGGCCGUAAAGGCAAAUUAAGUCCAAGAUUUAUUGGUCCGUAUGAAGUGAUAGAAAGAAUUGGUCCAGUGGCUUAUCGAUUGUCUUUACCACCGGAAUUGGAAAGAAUUCAUAAUGUGUUUCAUGUUUCUAUGUUGAGGCGAUAUCGAUCGGACCCAUCACAUGUGAUUUCACCGACUGAAGUGGAAAUUCGAUCGGAUAUGACAUACGAAGAAGAACCGAUUCGAAUCUUGGACGAGAAGUGAAACAGUUGAGAAACAAAGAAAUUGCUUUAGUAAAGUGUUAUGGCAACGACAUGGGGUGGAAGAGGCAACAUGGGAAACCGAGGAGGCUAUGAGGAAACAGUAUCCCAACUUAUUCACUAGUAAGAUUUUCGGGGACGAAAAUCCCUAAGGGGGGGAGAAUUGUGAUAGCCCGAAAUAGGGCCUAAUCGGAAUAGUGGUUUCGUAACCACAAAUCCGAAGUGAAAUAGUUUAAUUUUAUAAAUUUUUAUUAGUUACUGAUUGAUUGAAAUAUUGUGUGAAAAUAUGGAUAGGAAAUUUUAAUACUUUAGUGCUUAAUUGAAUUUUUAGGACUAAAUUGAGAAAAAUGCAAAGUGUGUCUAAUUAGUGAUUAAAUGACUUAAUUGAAUUAUUGCAUGAAAUUGGAAGUGUUUAUGUGGCAAUUAGACCAUAAAUUAGUGUUAUGGACACAAAAGGGUAUUUCUAGAAAAAUAUCUAAGUAAUGGGUCAAGGGCAUUUUUGUCCAAAUUGGGUAAAAGAAAAAAUAAAGAGAAAAUAAGUGUCCAUCUUCUUCAAAAAAAUCAGAAGCUUGCUGCCGAAAGUUUCAGGUUACCAUAGUUAAGGGUUUUGAUUUUCCUAAGCUCAAUUAUCAAGAAAGAAGAAAUAGUGCAAGUGAUCGGGGAAAAGAGAAAGUUAUCGACUAAAUUACAAAAAUAGUCGUUUUGCAUCCGAGGUAAGUUAUAUGUAAAUAAUAGUUAUAUUUGUAUAAAUUGUGAAUUAUAUUUGAUAUGUGAAUUAAUAUUGAAUGUGGAAGGAAAGUUGUUCAUGAAUUAUUCAAGUGAUAAAGUGUUGAAAAUAAAGUGUUAAGUGUAAAUUCCCGGUUGAACUUAGGAAUAGAAUUGGAUACAAGUGACAUGUCACUAGAGACCAGUGUUACAGUGUUACAGUGAGUCCCGGGUGCUGGGUGAUCUAGCAUGUGUUGCAGACACCUGAUAGCUUGUGUGAGCAGACCCGUGGACAUUUCCAGUGUUAUUGAUCAGUGGUAGCUUCGGCUACAUUUCAGUGGUAGCUUUGGCUACAUCCAGUGGUAGCUUCGGCUACAUAUCAGUGGUAGCUUCGGCUACAUAUCAGUGUGGCACUUAUGUGCUAAAUCUCUACGUAUCCGUGUAUAUUCCAAGUGUUCAACGGGAUUAAUAAUGAAUUAAAGUGAAUAUGAAAUGUUAAGUGUGAAAAUGUAUAUGCAAGUGAAUUGGUAAGAUUGUGUAUGUGUAAGUGAUUGAAAUUGCUAAGAAAUGUUUUGAUUAGUUAUAUGUUAAAAGUGUUAAUUAUUAAUUGAGUAAUUAUUGUUUACAUGUAACUUACUAAGCUAUUUAUAGCUUACACAUCUCUUUCUUGCCUUUGUUUUAUAGUGAUUUGAACUUGAUCGAAUAGUGGACCGUCGGAGCUCGUAUCACACUAUCAUAACCAUCUCGGUAUUAUGUGCUUUUCAAAAUGUUUAAACUAUGGCAUGUAUAGAGUCUUAAUCAUUUUGAGCAUGUCCAAAUGAUAUGGCUAAUGUUAGCUAUUGAAGUAGUUAUUAAAGAAUAUGUUUUGGAGUUAUGUAUGUUUAAAUGGUAACUAAUUCAAAGAAGCAGUUUCUUUGACAGCAGCAGUGACAUGAAUGUGAAAAAUCACCAUAAAUAGUAGAAAUGGAAUUAGAGGGUGAAUGAUAUAUAUAAUUAAAGCUUAUCAAGUCUAUUUUUACAUGAAAGAAACGGUGUAGGCAAAGGAAUUUUAUAUUUUGAGAUAUUUAAAUUUUAGUGAGACAGGAUCAGAAUGGUUUUUGAAGUCCCCUGUUCUAACUUUAGAAAAUCAUUAUAAAUUGUACAGAAAUAAUUAUAGGUCAUAAUUUAUAUGUUUAGAUUCCUUAGUGAGUCUAUUUUCAAAAUAAAUUAAUGGUAACCUUAUAUGAAUUCUGUACAAUUAGAUAUUUUAUUUUUAGCGCCAAGAGGUCAGAUCUGUCGAGCUGUGAAACAGGGGAUACUUUAAUGAAUAAACUGUACUAAUGUGCUAAGUCAAAAAUUCUGAAACUUUUAUGGUAAGUAGGAAUAUGAGUCUAGUUUCACGGAAAAUUUACGGAUUUAAAUUUUGAGUUUCGUAACUCAAGUUAUAAUUAAAUUAGUGACAGUUGCACAGGUG
rnacentral:lncRNA from 1 species